CUCCUACGGGAGGCAGCAGUGGGGAAUCUUGCGCAAUGGGCGAAAGCCUGACGCAGCCAUGCCGCGUGAAUGAUGAAGGUCUUAGGAUUGUAAAAUUCUUUCAGCAGGGACGAUAAUGACGGUACCUGCAGAAGAAGCCCCGGCUAACUUCGUGCCAGCAGCCGCGGUAAUACGAAGGGGGCUAGCGUUGCUCGGAAUUACUGGGCGUAAAGGGAGCGUAGGCGGGUUAUCAAGUUGGAGGUGAAAGCCCAGGGCUCAACCUUGGAAUUGCCUUCAAAACUGAUAGCCUAGAGUAUGAUAGAGGUAUGUGGAACUCCGAGUGUAGAGGUGAAAUUCGUAGAUAUUCGGAAGAACACCAGUGGCGAAGGCGACAUACUGGGUCAUGACUGACGCUGAGGCUCGAAAGCGUGGGGAGCAAACAGGAUUAGAUACCCUGGUAGUCCACGCUGUAAACGAUGAUUGCUAGUUGUUGGCGGGCAUGCCCGUCGGUGACGCAGCUAACGCAUUAAGCAAUCCGCC
rnacentral:rRNA from 1 species